GUGACGAAGCGGAAGCCUCAGGACAGCACAAAAGAGAACGAGGCGGGACAAGUGGCACCUUCACAGAACGGGGACCUAGUGACGCCCACAGAAUUCACAGCGGCUGACACGCGGGAGAAUGGGGUGGAGGAGACGCUUCCCGUAGAUGGUGGCAACCAAAGGGAAAGCCAGAGCUUCAACGCUCUCAUACC